rnacentral:lncRNA from 1 species
ACACACACACUGACACGCACGAACACACACACACACUCGCUCGUGUAGACACGUACGAAGGCGCUAGCACACAUAGAUCAGGUAGUAGACGACGCGGCGCGGCGGACUGACAUCGGCCUGCUAGCUCCAGCUUACGACGACGCCCUGGUGCCGGUGCCGGUGCCGGCGCCCGCUCCGCCGGUGGCGCCGGUGUGGCCACCUCCUCCGGCGCGCGCGUCCUCCGCGCGGCUCUGGAUGGCGUGGCCGGCCUGCUGCGUCUUGUGCCCCGCGGCCGCGGCGGCAUCGGCCAUGCGCUGGCGCGCCUCCUCCACGUAGUCCGGGGUGCGCUGGAACGCCUGGCGCGCCGUGUUGGCGAGGACGGUGAGCGAGGAGAGGCCGCCCAGCCCCAGCGCGCCGGAGGUGAGGAACCCGGUGACGGCCAGGCCGAUGGUGAGCGCGGCCGGGACCAGCAUGGGGCUGAAGAGCAGGAACACGGGCGUGGCCACGGCCAGCCCCACCACGGUGCCCGCCAGCGCCAGCCCGGACAGCACCAGCAGCAGCCCGCCCAGCGGGAACAGCGUCGCCACCGUCAGCGCCUGCGACGCCGACGGCGCCUUCUCCUGGAACAUGCCCUUCAUCUGCUCGCCCAUCUGGCGCCCGUGCUGCUGCUGCCCGCCGUGGUGCCCGCCGCCGUACUGCCCGUGCUGCACCUGCACGUAGCCCCCGCGGUCCGCCAUUGCUCCUCCCUCGCUUCGCUGCGUCCGCCGGCGGUGAAGUGAGCCAAGAUCUGUCGAACUCGAGAGCUGGAGGGGACUGAACUCUGAAGUGAAGUGGGUUGAG